rnacentral:rRNA from 1 species
AGCGUAGGUGGGAGUUUAAGUUGGGUGUUUAAUCCCGGGGCCUAACCCCGGAUCGGCACCCAAAACUGGGCUUCUUGAAUGGGACAGAGGCUAAUGGAAUUGGAGGUGUAGCGGUGGAAUGCGUAGAGAUCUCCAAGAACACCAGUUGCGAAGGCGGUUAGCUGGGUCCACAUUGACACUGAGGCUCGAAAGCGUGGGGAGCAAACAGGAUUAGAUACCCUGGUAGUCCACGCCGUAAACGAUGAACACUAGGUUUUGACCCCGUCAACGGGCCAGAGCCGUAGCUAACGCGUUAAGUGUUCCGCCUGGGGAGUACGCUCGCAAGGGUGAA